rnacentral:rRNA from 1 species
UACGGAGGGUGCAAGCGUUAUCCGGAUUCACUGGGUUUAAAGGGUGCGUAGGUGGGUUGAUAAGUCAGUGGUGAAAUCCCCGAGCUUAACUUGGGAACUGCCAUUGAUACUAUUGAUCUUGAAUACCGUGGAGGUCAGCGGAAUAUGUCAUGUAGCGGUGAAAUGCGUAGAGAUGUGGAGGAACACCGAUGGCGAAGGCAGCCUCCUGGGCCAGCACUGACGCUCAUGCACGAAAGCGUGGGGAGCAAACAGG